AUAAAGACAGUCACAUGGGAAAAUUUAAAGACUUUUAACAGCAAACCUAUGAAAUAGGUCUCUGGCCCCUAGUUCAGAAUGUUCUCCAUUGUCCUGGCUGAUGAGUGUAUUGCCAUUUAUUUCAAGGCAGAAGAAUGAAGCUUGAGAUUGUCAGAAAUAUAUAGGGAAAGUUUUUAGGUUUUCAUUGUAAAUACAGGAAGUAGUGCAAUACACUUCUCAUUUCAGUAAAUAAGGCAAAAUUAGAAGUUAUGUCAUACAUUAAUGUCUUCAGUUUAAAAAGUCUUAUCACUAUAAAAUGAGAAACAAGUAAUUCUAGUUUAUUUCAACAAAAUCUUGAGGACCGUAUGAAAGAGAACAUCUGCUCUGCCAGAAGUGAAAAGACCAGAAACCUAGAAUGCUCUGAUCAUGAUGUGCUCUUAGCAGCACAAAAUAGAGGCUGGUUGGCUCUGUGUAAUCCUUGAGCUUUAGGUAUGUGUUGUUCGGACUGCCUUUCUCUAAGCUGAUAUCCCUGACAAUGAGAGAAAAACUGAAUUUUGAUUUUAAAACUAUAAUCUGGAACCCAGCAUUCCUGUGGCCUAGCUACAUUUUUUUUUCUUUUUCUUUUUACUGACCAAGCUAUAACCUCUAGGCAGCUUUCCUUGGAAAUACAACAUUGAAGCAAAGGGCAGACACGCUCUCUUAGAGUUUUCAAGUCUCAUACACAGAAUUGGGCCCUCAGUUACAAAGUGCCGAGCUCAAAGAUCCUGGAAGAGAAGCUUGGGAAGCCCAAGGCUGAGGACUGGCUCUAGAUAGAACAAUAGGUAAUAUUUAAUAAACAAUCAUGUGUCAGCAACUGUUCUGAGCUCUUUGUAUGGCAAUUCAUUUCUCAUAACUAAGAAAGGAAUUAGCUACCACUGGAGGUAACUCAGUCUUAUUUGUGUUAUCACCAUCUGACUAUUCCAAGGGACCAGUGUGUUCUUGCUGAGUCAGGUUAACAAUCCUAGAUACUGCUUGAAGGAAAAUUUAUAUAGUAGUCAAUAGCGUGUGUGUGUGUGUGUGUGUGUAUGUACACACUAUAUACACACACCUUCAACAAAGCAAACAUUGUGGUAGAUUUUAUAAUCCUGUCAGGGUAGUGAGAAAGACCAUGUCACCAUUUGGCAAAAUUUACAUUCAAAUCCUGUUACUACCUUGCUUUCUCUUCUUUAUCAGAGGCCAUAUUCAUAUUGGCUUCAUCAAAGUUACAUACACUCCUUUUCAGCAAACGUGUAUGCAUAAUCAAUAAAUAUUCAGAUGUUCUUUGAGCACUUUUCUCAGAAUAUUUUUUUUAGGUGAUUUGCUUCACUUGUAGCUGGAGUUGGGUCUGGAGUGAAAUUGGAAGUACAGUAACUUACAUGGCUCCAUAUGAAGUAAGUUUAAAAGUGGAGGUGUGUGAUGAGUGUAUAAAGCUUGUCAGUUUCAUAGGCUAACUUAACAUACAUGUUGCUCAGUUACUGAAUUGCACAGGAUUAAGAGGCCACAAGAUGGCAAACUAACACUGGAAAGGAGUAUGUACAGUUAAGGUCUGAAAAUUGAACCAGAAAUUACCUUCCCAUUUUUUAUUUAUAUUUUAAAGGGGA
rnacentral:lncRNA from 1 species